rnacentral:rRNA from 1 species
UACGUAGGGGGCAAGCGUUGUCCGGAAUCACUGGGCGUAAAGCGUGCGUAGGCGGUUGUGUAAGUCUGGUGUGAAAGUCCAUGGCUCAACCAUGGGAAUGCUUUGGAAACUGCAUGACUUGAGUGCUGGAGAGGCAAGGGGAAUUCCACGUGUAGCGGUGAAAUGCGUAGAUAUGUGGAGGAAUACCAGUGGCGAAGGCGCCUUGCUGGACAGAAACUGACGCUGAGGCACGAAAGCGUGGGGAGCAAACAGG